UUGAUUCAUUUGUUUUGUUACUCAGAAGGAAAUUCCACUAAAGCGAAAGCAAGAGUUUGGGUCCCCCGGCGGGCGCCUGGUUCCGAGCCGUCCCCCUGGGGGUCGGGCGCCGGGGCGGUCCGCCGAAGCAACGUGUGGUAUGUUCGCAGGGGUUUGGGAGUUGUAUAACUCGGUAAUGAUCCCUCCGCUGGUUCACCAACGGAGA
rnacentral:misc_RNA from 1 species